GCCUUCGUAGUGCGAAACCGGUUAACACAACAGACCGCCAAUCUGAAGAUACGGGUUCGAUUCCCGCCUGAGGUU
rnacentral:tRNA from 1 species